CCUAGUUCUAACCAUAAACGAUGCCAGCCAGCGAUCCGGCUGUGUUCCUCAAAUGACACGCCGGGCAGCUUCCGGGAAACCAAAGCUUUUGGGUUCCGGGGGAAGUAUGGUUGCAAAAUUCAAACUUAAAGGAAUUGACGGAGAGGCACACAAGCAUUGGAUCCUGCGGCUCAAUUUGACUCAACACGGGUAAGCUUAGCUGGUCAGGACACAAGAAGGAUUGACAGAUUGAGAGCUCUUUCUUGAUUUUGUGGCAAGUGGUGCAUGGCCGUUCUUAGUUCGUGGAGUGAUUUGUCAGGUUGAUUCCGAUAACGAUCGAGACUCUAGCCUACUAAAUAGACGUUCCGAAUCAUUUUCGUCGGACGGUCUUCUUAGAGGGAUACGCGGCGUCUAGCCGCACGAAGACAGAGCAAUAACAGGUCUGUAAUGCCCUUAGAUGUCCAGUGCCGCACGCGCGAUACAUUGAAGGAAUCAGCGUGUGCUUCCCCUGUCCGACAGGACUGGGUAACCCGUUGAACCUCCUUCGUGCUGGGGAUAGGAGAGUGCAAUUACCUCCUUGAACGAGGAAUUCCCAGUAAGCACGAGUCAUCAACUCGUGUUGAUUACGUCCCUGCCUCUUGUGCACACCGCCCGUCGCUGUUAGCGAUUGAAUGAUUUAGUGAGGUMUUCGGACUGGCGCUCGGUGUGUGGCCUCCGGGUCGAGCCUAGUGCCGGAAAGAUGAUCGAACUUGGUUAUUUAGAGGUAACAAAAGUCGUAACAAGGUUUCC
rnacentral:rRNA from 1 species